rnacentral:rRNA from 1 species
UACGUAGGGUGCAGGCGUUAAUCGGAAUUACUGGGCGUAAAGCGCGCGUAGGCGGCUUUGCAAGUCGAGUGUGAAAUCCCCAGGCUCAACCUGGGAACUGCAUUCGAGACUGCAUAGCUAGAGUAUGGGAGAGGGAAGUGGAAUUUCAGGUGUAGCGGUGAAAUGCGCAGAUAUCAGGAGGAACACCAGCGGCGAAGGCGGCGCUCUGGGCCGGUACUGACGCUGAGGAGCGAAAGCGUGGGGGAGCAAACAGG